AAAUCCACGUGACCUCGUCAGUUAUCGCGGGCGCCAUUAACGUGGUGGAGUCCAUGGUGGAAGGCUGUAGAAUUGGUUUUUACAAGAGCUCAAAACCGCUUCCUAUGCUUGGGUUGUAGUCUUCUUUUUCACGUGUUUUUACAAGAGCAAUAAACAGCAUCCCAUGCUUGGGUUUUAGUGAACUUUUUCAUGUGAAUAACAGCAUAGACAUGGAAAGAGAAUGCAUCCUCAAAGCAGUGUGUGUAUACUUAAAAGAGGACCAUCUACAGCUGUUCUAGGAGUACAAUGAUUGCGACUGGGUGAAUGCUAAAGAAGCCAUAGAGCAGAUGGUAAUGGGGAUCUACAUCGUCCAAUCCGAAGGACACCAACCAGGGGAUAAACCUGUGGACGUUGGUAUCGUAUCGUGAUUGAAGGGACUGAGGUUCUCUGCUCUUUGAAGAAUGUAGCUGUAGCAGUGGCCAUGGCUUGGACUUACCCAUGAGAAAACAAAGCUACAUUUGAGGUCAUCCAGAAUGUUUUCUUUAACUUGUAUGGACAAAAACUUUCACCAAAGGUUCAAGCCCUCAAGAACAAGAUGCUUGAGUAAGUUACCUAAUGUGUGUAUUCUCAAAAGACUAAAUCUUGACUUCAGAAGGUAUUAGCUGUGAAUAUACAUUGAAAUAUCAAUAUUGUUCAUCUUGGAUGAUAUUUUUUGUAUUUUUUCACCUGAAAAUUUGCCUUGAAAUAAGAAUAAAGAGAAACUUGUGACAUUCA